CCUACGGGAGGCAGCAGUGAGGAAUAGUGGUCAAGGGACGCAAGUCUGAACCAGCCAAGUAGCGUGCAGGAUGACGGCCCUCCGGGUUGUAAACUGCUUUUAGUUGGGAAUAAAAGGGGGCUCGUGAGCCCCGUAUGGUAUGUACAAUCAGAAAAAGGACCGGCAAAUUCCGUGCUAGCAGCCGCGGGAAUACGGAAGGUCCGGGCGUUAUCCGGAUUUAUUGGGUUUCCAGUGAGCGUAGGCCGGCUUUUAAGUCAGCUGUGCACGUCCGCGGCUCAACCGUGGAAUUGCAGUUGAAACUGGCGUCCUUGCGUGCACUCCGGGCUGCCGCAAUUCAUGCUGUAGC
rnacentral:rRNA from 1 species